AUACGAAUCACCUGCGGAUCUUGUCAAAAUGUAGAUUCUGAUUCAGUAGAUCUGAGGUGGGGCCUGAGAGCCUGAAAUUCUGUGUUUUAAAUAAGCUCCCAGGUGAUUUGUUG
rnacentral:miRNA from 1 species